rnacentral:tRNA from 1 species
GCAGUUGUGGCCUACUGGUUAGCGCUUCGGACUUGUAACCGGAGGGUUGCCGGUUCGAACCCUGACCGGUAGGCUACG